AAAAUGCUGACACUAUCAGAACAUCAAAGUUGUCAUCUGCAAGGAGGAAUUCUCACACUCCAACCAGGAGUUAUGUACCAUCUGUGACAGAGAGAAAUGACAGCCAAAUGGUCCCCUUUCUUUUGUUAAAGCUCUAAGGAAACUGCCGGGAUUAGCAUGUUGCACUACUACUGAUGUCAGAAAAUGCAGAUAUCUAGAAAUUAAAAUAAAAAAAGUUCCAACUUUG